rnacentral:rRNA from 1 species
GAUGGACGCAGUGACUGGAGUUCAGACGUGUGCUCUUCCGAUCUCGGCCACUAAAAUAGUCCGCGGGUGACUCGGUCCUAAGCGCUCGGCCACGGCCAUACAAGCGUCGAAAGGGUAGCAGGUUAAGAUCCCUGCAGACUUGCUCAUCAUUGGCGACACUGGGCGCAGCUCACAGAUAUCCAUUCGACUUGGCCGGACCAUCGUCCCGGUUUAAUGCUCUAGAGCGUAUGGAAGCGUUUGGCGCUAGAUGUACGUUCUCUGGCGAGAAUACGCCUUGGUAGAGGCGCUGGUUUGUAUGGACAUUGCUUCAAGCUGGGCUGUGCGACUCGAGCAAGCACCGUACUGAUAACCGCAUCAGGUCUCCGAGGCAAGAAACCUCUAGUGAGAAGACAACAUGGCCAAGGGAAGUCGGCAAAUCGGCUCUGUAACCUUGGGAUAAAGAGUGGCUCUGAAAGCUCAACGUGUACACUGGGCAAUGAGAUGUUCUUGCAGCGCUGCCGUGGAGCAAUCUGCCAGGCGCUGUGCGUUCUGAUUUUUACCCUGGAGAAACGUGCAGGCAUUUCAGAACUGCUACUGACUAGAAGAACCCGACUGUAUAAUUAAAACAUAGCAUCUCGAUAGGCCAAGUGGCUUCUGACGAGAUGUGAAUCCUGCCCAGUGCUAUGAUUGUCAACGUGACGAGAAUCAUUCAAGCUCUGGUAAACGGCGGGAGUAACUAUGACUCUUUUAAGGUAGCCAAAUGCCUCGUCCAGUAAUUUUGGACGUGCAUGAAUGGAUUAAUGAGGUUCUUACUGUCCCUGGUCAUAUCUUCGCGAAACCACAGACUCGGGAACGGGCGAGUGUAACCCUCAGCGGGGCAAGAAGACCCUGUUGAGCUUGACUCCAGCUUGGGAUUGUAGAACGGUGAUGGUGGUAUAGCGUACAGGGGAGCUUCGGCGUUCGUGUAACACCCUGACACUACUCAUUGUUCUGCUAACCUGCUUCACGGUGCGGCUUUGGCUUAGCACUCGGCAGGGACAUUUCUAGGUGGGGAGUUUGGCUGGGGCGGCGCGCCUGCUAAAGUGCAACGCAGGCGUCCUAAAACGAGCUCAGACUGGACGGAAACCUGUCGCAGAGCAAAAGAGCAAAAGCUUGUCUGACUGAGUGCGUCAGUGGCGUACUCAGCCGUGAAAGCGUGGUCUAUCGAUCCUUUACGAUUCCUGGAAUGAAUCUGGAGGUGACAGAAAAGUUACCACAGGGAUAACUGGCUUGUGGCCGCCAAGCGACCAAAGCGACGUGGCUUUUUGAUUCUUCGAUGUCGGCUCUUCCUAUCAUUCUGAAGCAGCAUUCAGAAAGUGUUGGAUUGUUCACCCAUGCAAGGGAACGUGAGCUGGGUUUAGACCGUCGCGAGACAGGUUAGUUUUAUCCUACUGAGGCGCUAGCGCCUCAAGUAAUUUAGAAUAGUACGAGAGGAACAUUUUCAUCUAAGCACUGGUUUACAGGCUUAUGUGACAACAUAGUAGCCUGACGCUACCCUUGGGCAAGUUAUGGCUGACGGCCUCUAAGUGAGAAUCUCACCUUCACGUGUUUUUGUUCUACCGACUGCCAGGAUUAUCACGCCCAGGACCGCACGCUGUAGACCACAGCUAUCGGGCGCGUUGU